UUUAGACUGGGAUAACAGAGGGAAACUUCUGAUAAUACUGGAUAAGUUAGUAUAUCGCAUGAUAUGCAAAUGAAAGCUACGGCACUAAAGGAGAGCUUUGCGUCCUAUUAGCUAGUUGGUAAGGUAAGAGCUUACCAAGGCGAUGAUAGGUAGCCGGCCUGGGAGGGUGGACGGCCACAAGGGGACUGAGAUACGGCCCUUACUCCUACGGGAGGCAGCAGCC
rnacentral:rRNA from 1 species